rnacentral:rRNA from 1 species
UACGUAGGGCGCAAGCGUUGUCCGGAAUUAUUGGGCGUAAAGAGCUCGUAGGCGGUCUGUCGCGUCUGCUGUGAAAAUCCAGGGCUCAACCCUGGACCUGCAGUGGGUACGGGCAGACUAGAGUGCGGUAGGGGAGAUCGGAAUUCCUGGUGUAGCGGUGAAAUGCGCAGAUAUCAGGAGGAACACCGAUGGCGAAGGCAGGUCUCUGGGCAUUAACUGACGCUGAGGAGCGAAAGCAUGGGGAGCGAACAGG